rnacentral:lncRNA from 10 species
CAAGCCCACCCCACAUUCUGGCCUCCAGAGGAAAGCAGCAGAAAUGCAUAUUUUCAACCCACCAUAUUUAAGCAGAAUUCGCUAACAACAUCUCUACACUCAUCAGCUCCAUUCCUUUGAUCAUGGAAGGAAUGAAUAAACAGAGUUUUUGCAGUGAGUCCCAAACAGUAAACCACACAGCAGAUCACAAAGAACUUUACUAUUUUUUAAAACAGUAAGAGCUCAUGCUAUUACUCCAGUGUUUCAAAGAUGUGUUCUGUGUAGUCAAUUAAGAAAUGCAUCUUAUCUCUCAAGUUAUCUUGGUAACUUUAGUUUGUUAUGAUGACUUAUCUCAGUUCACCACAUACAGAUGACUACUAAAAACUGGUAAAUAUAUAUGUGUGUAUCCACCUAUAUAUUCAUCUAUCCAUCUAUAUCCUGAUAGGUAUGUUUAUAUUAUAUACAUAUGAUAUGUGUAUAUAUAGACAGAUACGUAU